rnacentral:rRNA from 1 species
AGUUUGAUCCUGGCUCAGGAUGAACGCUAGCUACAGGCUUAACACAUGCAAGUCGAGGGGCAGCAUGGUCUUAGCUUGCUAAGGCCGAUGGCGACCGGCGCACGGGUGAGUAACACGUAUCCAACCUGCCGUCUACUCUUGGACAGCCUUCUGAAAGGAAGAUUAAUACAAGAUGGCAUCAUGAGUCCACAUGUUCACAUGAUUAAAGGUAUUCCGGUAGACGAUGGGGAUGCGUUCCAUUAGAUAGUAGGCGGGGUAACGGCCCACCUAGUCUUCGAUGGAUAGGGGUUCUGAGAGGAAGGUCCCCCACAUUGGAACUGAGACACGGUCCAAACUCCUACGGGAGGCAGCAGUGAGGAAUAUUGGUCAAUGGGCGAGAGCCUGAACCAGCCAAGUAGCGUGAAGGAUGACUGCCCUAUGGGUUGUAAACUUCUUUUAUAAAGGAAUAAAGUCGGGUAUGGAUACCCGUUUGCAUGUACUUUAUGAAUAAGGAUCGGCUAACUCCGUGCCAGCAGCCGCGGUAAUACGGAGGAUCCGAGCGUUAUCCGGAUUUAUUGGGUUUAAAGGGAGCGUAGAUGGAUGUUUAAGUCAGUUGUGAAAGUUUGCGGCUCAACCGUAAAAUUGCAGUUGAUACUGGAUAUCUUGAGUGCAGUUGAGGCAGGCGGAAUUCGUGGUGUAGCGGUGAAAUGCUUAGAUAUCACGAAGACUCCGAUUGCGAAGCAGCCUGCUAGCUGCACUGACAUGAGGCUCGAAGUGUGGUUUAAACAGAUAGAUACCUGGUAGU